rnacentral:rRNA from 1 species
CAGCCGCCGCGGUAAUACAGAGGGUGCGAGCGUUAAUCGGAUUUACUGGGCGUAAAGCGUGCGUAGGCGGCUUUUUAAGUCGGAUGUGAAAUCCCUGAGCUUAACUUAGGAAUUGCAUUCAAUACUGGGAAGCUAGAGUAUGGGAGAGGAUGGUAGAAUUCCAGGUGUAGCGGUGAAAUGCGUAGAGAUCUGGAGGAAUACCGAUGGCGAAGGCAGCCAUCUGGCCUAAUACUGACGCUGAGGUACGAAAGCAUGGGGAGCAAACAGGAUUAGAGACCCCGGUAGUCCCUGUCUCUUAUAC